CAAGUUUUUCAAUAAAAAUAAUAUAUGAUUGCUAAUCGAACAUAAUUCUUUCAGCUGCGUGGACCAAUACUCGCACCAAGGAUAUCGCAAGAAAAUGUGAAUCAGGUUUUAUUCCAGACAUCUAUCUCGAAGGAUUUUGGAGCGGCGUCGUAUCAACGUAAUUCCAUCCGCUUGAAUUUGAAUGAACUUUAGUUAUUUAUACUUUGUGUAAUAAUUUACAAUAAAUAAAUUCUUUAUGUAACACG